rnacentral:rRNA from 1 species
GUGCCAACCGCCGCGGUAAUACCGGCAGCCCGAGUGAUGGCCGAUCUUAUUGGGCCUAAAGCGUCCGUAGCUGGCUGCGCAAGUCCGUCGGGAAAUCCACUCGCCCAACGAGUGGGCGUCCGACGGAAACUGCACAGCUUGGGACCGGAAGGCUCGAAGGGUACGUUCGGGGUAGGAGUGAAAUCCCAUAAUCCCGCACGGACCACCGAUGGCGAAAGCACUUCGAGAAAACGGAUCCGACAGUGAGGGACGAAAGCCAGGGUCUCCAACCGGAUUAGAAACCCCAGUAGUCC